rnacentral:rRNA from 1 species
AUGGCCGUUGAGCUGCAGCGCGUCCCGAUGGUGGGUGAGAUCGAGAGCGAGAAGGAGGGAUUCGGCAGCCUCGACCUCUGCGACCGCACGGCCAUGUACGGGAGGCAUGGGCGCUCGCUGGAGCCAGUGGCCGCCGCCAAGAACCUGUGGAAGUGGGUGAAAGCCAAGCUCAUGAAGAACAAAACCUACAGCUUGGCCCCGCCGUCGCCGCCGACCAGUGAAGACCAUAUCUCCAUCCGCGUCUCCUCCGACCGCGGCAUCCCCGAGGACGGCAACAACAACGAAGUCACUCUCAACAUAGACUCAGAGUCCGUAGAGGUGCCUGAUGAUGAGCCAACGAGCGUGCCCACGAUUUUGUUUCCAGCAAACCUCGCCGUGGCACUGUGGAUGAUGGCCUUGCUCACCCUAAGCAUGGUCAUAGGCACAGUGCUCUACAAGCCUGCCAGGGGAGGCGUCUUUGGCAACAACAAAAGCAUCUACUACCUCACCCUCGCCAGCAUCUUCUUAUUUGGAGUCGCAGAGGCAUUCACAGCUUACUGUGUGUCCCGCUCCCGUGACGCUAACAAGCGUCGUUUCUCCUUUGGGAGGGUAGUUCUCUGUGCCUCAGUCGGGCCAUUCGUUGCCAUUGUCGGAAUCGGUGGUUUUACUUUCAUCAAGGGCUAA